UCAUUAAGUUAAGUGUGAGAAUAUAUUAUUUGAUUUGUCCAAUAAAAAUUGAAACAGAAUGUAAUGACAUUUUUAACUAUAAGACCUUUCCCAACAUAGUUCUGUCUUUGGCAUAUUUGGGUUUUACCUAAUGUAUUUAUACAUGUGUUGUCCGUUGAUGAUUUACUUACUAAUUAUACAUGCCAUACUAUAGUUUCAUAAUCAGUUGCAUUCGUCAAAUUACAUUUGUAUUUUUCUGACAUUUUUAUUAUGUUGUUUUUUUUUGUAAUCAUAAAUUUAACAUUUUUCAUUAUUUUUGUAUAAUCGUAGGUUAAUUUGCUCACACUGUGCAAUAUUAUCACAUUUUAUAUUUAGUGUUUUUUGUAUAGUUAAAAGAUUUAGUUUAUCUAUUUCUAUAUACUUAUCCAUAAGAAAUUUUGUUGGUAGGUCGUUGCCUUCAUACACGUGCAGUCAGUAGUACAAAGGCUGGCUUACAUUUUCACGUCACAUAGUUUGCUCUCACUGUAUGCAUGUACAGAACGUCAUUAGCUUCAUGGGUCCCACCAGUAUGAUUCUUCACUUUCCCCAUUCUGUAGUCUUCUCGGCUUCUCCGUUCUUCUUUUCUCCACUCAUUCCCUUUCUCAUUUCCUUAUUUUCUCUUCUCACACAAAAAUUGGUUUUGCUGGAUAGCCCUCAUCAGCUUGCUCUCUUCAUCCGCUGUAUUGAGGUUGCUCCUCCUCACCUCAAGCCACCACUGGAGCUGGUGCUGCCACAGGAUGACCAUCGACGGCGGCUGGUUUGGCUCCUCGUACGUCUCCUAGGCUGGUAAAUGGGGCUGGAUUUAUGAUGGCGUCUGUGCAGUGAUUUUGUCACGGAUUUCGUCUCCUGCAGGCCCGCAGCCUCUUGGAUCCAGCUUCAGUAUGAGGGAGCUGGAGACAUUUUCUUCCCCAAGCACGCAAACCAAACGCAUUGCCGCUAUUUCUGCGCGAGGCAGCUCAACACAUCAUUCACAUCCCCUACUGCGGCAACAUUCUUCAAUUCAAACUACAGUUGGUACUUACUUGAGGUGAUCUGAUUGCUCGAUGGAGCCAGCUGGUGUCCGCUGGAGGAAGACAAUGCCGAUGUGCCACUGGUUGGAGGAAGUUGACUUUGAUGUCUCGUUCGCGGGAGGAAGAUGAUGUACAAGGUAUAUCAUCUAGUCUAGAGGACAAUUAACCCUUGAGGCGUAAUUGCUCUGGUUUGGGCAAUCAAAUCUCUGUACAUUAAUGUGAGAGUUUGGAGAGAUUGCAUCUCUGAACUUUUUUUUGUGCCUGUUCUUUUUAUUGUGGGAUGGUCUGAUGGCUCAUGGAUGGUCAAACCUGUUGGGAUCAUGAGGUUUCUAUUGUGGGAUGGUCUAAUCGCUCAACCUGUUGGGGUAAUGAGAUCAUAAAUUGUGGGAUGGUCUA